rnacentral:Y_RNA from 1 species
GGUUGGUCUGAUGGUAGUGGGUUAUCAGAACCUAUUAAUAUUAGUGUCACUAAAGUUGGUAUACAACCCCCACUGCUAAAUUUAGCUAAAAAA